rnacentral:rRNA from 1 species
AAAUCUAGCACUUUCAGUGUUCSAGUUGUAAUUUGAAGAAGGUAACUUUGGAAUUGGCUCUUGUCUAUGUUCCUUGGAACAGGACGUCACAGAGGGUGAGAAUCCCGUGCGAUGAGAUGUCCAAUUCUAUGUAAAGUGCUUUCGAAGAGUCGAGUUGUUUGGGAAUGCAGCUCUAAGUGGGUGGGAAAUUCCAUCUAAAGCUAAAUAUUGGCGAGAGACCGAUAGCGAACAAGUMCAGUGAUGGAAAGAUGAAAAGAACUUUGAAAAGAGAGUGAAAAAGUACGUGAAAUUGUUGAAAGGGAAGGGCUUGAGAUCAGACUUGGUAUUUUGUGUUCCUUAUCCUUCUUGGAUUAKGUUCCUCACAGCUUACCGGGCCAGCAUCGGUUUGGAUGGCMGGAUAAUGACAUUGGAAUGUAGCUUUGCUUCGGUGAAGUGUUAUAGACUUUGUUGAUACUGCCUAUCUAGACCGAGGACUGCGUCUUUGACUARGAUGCUGGCGUAAUGAUCUUAAGCCGCCCCGUCUUGAAACA